rfam:Freshwater sediment metagenome lwMethane_BCGO36960_x1, whole genome shotgun sequence.
AAAGCCCGUCCGGUAGUGCUUGACCAGCGGCCGGAAGCGAGUCUUGCGCCGUACGUGGGUAACCCGUCCGGCGAAGCGUAGACAGUCAGUCUGAAAGCCAUGCUAUUGAGCUUCGAAAGACCAGUUGCGGGAGCCUCUGUUUUUCCGACCCCUGGGUCCACGCUGCGGCACUUUAUUGGUCUGGUGCCAGCAGUCCUGCCGGAGUCGACUGAACA